rnacentral:rRNA from 1 species
GGGGGANNAAGGGAUGACGGUACCCCGGGAGGAAGCCCCGGCUAACUACGUGCCAGCAGCCGCGGUAAUACGUAGGGGGCAAGCGUUGUCCGGAAUUAUUGGGCGUAAAGGGCGUGUAGGCGGCCUGUUAAGUCCUGUGGGAAAGGCAGGGGCUCAACCUCUGGAGAUCAUGGGAAACUGGCAGGCUCGAGGGCAGUANAGGGGUGUGGAAUUCCCGGUGUAGCGGUGAAAUGCGUAGAGAUCGGGAAGAACACCAGUGGCGAAGGCGACACUCUGGGCUGAACCUGACGCUGAGGCGCGAAAGCUAGGGGAGCGAACGGGAUUAGAUACCCCGGUAGUCCUAGCCGUAAACGAUGGGUACUAGGUGUUGGUGGGAUCGACCCCAUCGGUGCCGGAGUUCACACAAUAAGUACCCCGCCUGGGGAGUACGGUCGCAAGGCUGAAACUCAAAUGAAUUGAC